rnacentral:rRNA from 1 species
CAGUCGCCGCGGUAAUACGAAGGGUGCAAGCGUUAAUCGGAAUUACUGGGCGUAAAGCGUGCGUAGGCGGUUUGUUAAGUCUGUUGUGAAAUCCUCGGGCUCAACCUGGGAAUGGCAAUGGAUACUGGCAAGCUAGAGUGUGUCAGAGGAUGGUGAAAUUCCCGGUGUAGCGGUGAAAUGCGUAGAGAUCGGGAGGAACAUCAGUGGCGAAGGCGGCCAUCUGGGACAACACUGACGCUGAGGCACGAAAGCGUGGGGAGCAAACAGGAUUAGAUACCCCCGUAGUCCCUGUCUCUUAUAC